AUCCCUGAGUGUGAGAGUAGACCUUCUUACUCCCAGUCUUUUUCUCAGUGAGUCCCCUCUGAGGACAGCUGGGAAAAAGCUGAAUGAAACCUGCCUCAUUGUUUAUGCAUUAUAACUUCCAUAUGGGUCAGAAGUCUAUAAUUAAGGGUUUCCAAAAAAAACAAGAGACUCCCCCUUUUUUCUUUUAGAAACAACUUUAUUGAAGUAUAAUUUAAAUACCAUAAAAUUCACCUGUUUCAGGGUAUAAUUUUUUAUAAAUUUAAUGAGUUGUGCCGCCAUCAACACAAUCCAGUUUGGAAAAUUUCUGUCACCCUAGUGAGAUCCCUUGUACCAGAGAACCUGUCCCCACCUCCACCCUAUGCAACCAUUAAGCAAAUUUCUGUCUCUCUAAAUUUGCCUUUUUUGGGAUAUUUCAUAUAAGUGGAAUCAUGUAAUAUGUGAUCUUUUGUCUGCUUAGAGGGCCCAUUUUUUUUUGUCUUUAAGGUGGGCCAAGAUCUUACUUUGAUACUUGUGCUUGGUUGACAAGACUGUGGGAAAUCUCACAGACAAUCUCACACAGAUCUGCUGGGGAUAUAAAUUGGUAACACAUCUUUAAAGGGGUGACACCUCUGGACACUUCCUGAAGGCCUUGCUGGCUAUCUGUGGAGGCGAUGACGAGGGCCACCGGCUCUGACGGCACUCCUGCUGAGAAAUGGUCAGCAGCACCGCCCGCCGUGACCACGCCCAAUAGCUCUAGAGACUAAGGAAGGGGUGGGGUGGGGGGAGGGCUCAGCAUGGCUCAGGUCUUCAGCUGAGGUUAGAAAAGGCUCCCCUUACCGCAGGCCACCAAUGGCCCGGCUCGGUCACACCCCUGCGCACAUCUGAGCGGCUGAAGAACCAUAGCCAUCGAUCCCGUCCACGUCCGCUCUCCGUCUUCCUCCUCAGCCCUUCCCAGCUUCUGUCCUUUGCCACAGCCUCUGCCCUGGUUUGGAUUUGAUCAAAUCCAAAAACAUACUGAGCCUCUGUCUGUGAAAUGAGUGAUGUCUGUGCUUCAAAUGGUGGGGUGUGGUGGCGGGUGCCAGCUGAGGGUACUGCGGGAGGGGAGGGAGUGACGAGCCUCCCGGCAUUUCACUGCCCACCUCCUUCCAGGUCGUGCACUAGAGCACUGAACCGGGAGUCCAGAUCCGGGGCAUCUGCAUUCACUUGCUUUCUGCGCUUGGGCCAGUCUCUUUCCAUCCCUGAGUCUCUGUUUCCUUAUCUACAAAGUGAGAGAGUUGGACAAAAAUCUUGGCUUUCUCUUCUAACAUUCUCAGAUGUGUCUCCAAAUCAUUCUCUUUCCCCUUCUUUCUUUAAAUAAAAAGAGACACAUAAAUACACAAA